rnacentral:tRNA from 1 species
GUGGGGAUGUAACUCAGUGGUAGAGUGCUUGCCUUGCAUGCACAAGGUCCUGGGUUCAUUCCCAAGCACCACA